GAUGAACGCUAGCGGCAGGCUUAAUACAUGCAAGUCGAGGGGUAACAUGGGGUAGCAAUACUCUGAUGACGACCGGCAAACGGGUGCGGAACACGUACGCAACUUUCCCAAAACUGGUGAAUAGCCCUCCGAAAGGAGGAUUAAUACACCGUAACAUAUAGAGGUGGCAUCGCCUUUAUAUUAUAGCUCCGGCGGUUUUGGAUGGGCGUGCGCCUGAUUAGGUAGUUGGUGGGGUAAUGGCCUACCAAGCCUGUGAUCUGUAGCUGGUCUGAGAGGACGAUCAGCCACAUUGGGACUGAGAUACGGCCCAGACUCCUACGGGAGGCAGCAGUGGGGAAUUUUGGACAAUGGGCGCAAGCCUGAUCCAGCCAUGCCGCGUGCAGGAUGAAGGCCUCGGUU
rnacentral:rRNA from 1 species